rnacentral:rRNA from 1 species
CCUAGAAUAAAUCUAAGGUGUAACCUGCCCAAUGGUCUUAAAAUUCAACUAUAAACAGUUAUAAAAAGAUUUAAAGGACGCAGUAACUUAACUGUGAUAAUGUAGCAUAAUCACUCGCCAUUUAAUUGAUGGAUAGUAUGAAUGAUCAAACGAAUUCUUCGCUGUCUAAAAAAGAGAAAUUAUGAAAUUAAAAUAAUAGUAAAGAUGCUAUUUAAAAUUGUAAGACGAAAAGACCCUAUAGAGCUUAACUAUAAUCCUUCUUAAAAAUUAAGAAAAUUCUUAACAUAUAAGGACUAGUUAGUUUAGUUGGGGCGACUGCCUUCUAAAAAUAACGAAGGUAAGCUAUGUUAAUAAAAAACUUAUUGUAUAACCUAUAAAUUUAACAAUUACUAUAGUAGGCUAUAAUGACCCGUUUAAAGUUAGUAAUAAAUAAAACGAUCAAUAAAUAAAAGUUACCUUAGGGAUAACAGAAUAAUUUUGUCUCAGAGAUCUCAUCCAAGACAAAGCUUAUCACCUCUAUGUUGAAUUAAGAUAACCCAACUGCGCAAAAGCAGUUAAAGGUAGGUCUGUUCGACCUUUAAAAU